AUGCACUUGCAAGUAUGUAGCAACACAAGCUUAGCCAUGACGAUGAGGAAGCGCCCCUCCUUGUCCUCCCUUCUCGUAGCAGCGCUGCUGCUUAUGCUUCUUCCAUUGUUUGCUCUUGCUGCAGGGAGGCACAACCUGAUCACUAGAGACCCCCGAUACGACCCAUACGCGAACCCAAAUCCAGAACCACUACCAGGAAAACAACCAGAUCCAAACCCUCAACCAUUACCAAACCCACAACCACUGCCCGGACCACGACCGGACCCAAACCCGCAACCACUACCCGAGCCUAAACCUGACCCAAAACCACUGCCAGAGCCACAACCUGAUCCAAACGCUCAACCAUUACCAGGACCGCAUCCUGACCCAAAUCCACAACCACUGCCAGAGCCACGACCUGAUCCAAACGCUCAACCAUUACCAGGACCGCAUCCUGACCCAAAUCCACAACCAUUGUCAGACCCAAACCCGAAACCAUUGCCGAACCNNNNNNNNAACUCAAACCCUCAACCAUUACCAGGACCGCAGCCUGAUCCAAACCCGAAACCAUUGCCAGACCCACAGCCAAACCCAAACCCUCGGCCAUUACCAGGACCGCAGCCUGAUCCAAACCCACAACCAUUACCAAACCCAAACCCACAACCACUGCCAGGCCCACAGCCGGACCCGAAUGCACAGCCAAAACCACCACUUGGGACACAAGCAGAAAAGGAAAAUGUGGAGCAAACAUCCUAG
rnacentral:rRNA from 1 species